rnacentral:misc_RNA from 1 species
AAAACUAAGUAAAAUCCAAAACUGUGUAGAUAACUGGAUAAAAUCCACUCCUGUAUCAUAUUGGAAAGUUGUUGGGUUUACUUGCAAUCUUAUAACUGAACGUCCAUGGUGUGUACUGUGGGGGUCCAGGUUCCAAGGCUAUUGUCUUGUUGAUCACCAUAUUUAAAAGCUAGAUCCACGUGAGGUGUAUGAUGCAUAGCUAUAGAACAAUACUGUGUUUUCUCCAAAUCUUGAUGUUUUACUAGACAAGACUCAUUGGUGCACUGGAUAUGUAUUCUUGAUGUGAUAUAUACACUGUAAUAUUUAAGACUAUUACAAGUCAAUUGUACACGUCAAUUAUUUGGAACUGUCAUCCAAAUCCUAUUUGAGGAAAUGACAUCUAAGUUGAAUUUUUAGAACUUUCAAGGUAACUUGUUUGGCUGACAUGGUUACUUAUUGCAAAAUGCAGAUGAUAACCAAAAAUUU